UACAGAGGUCUCAAGCGUUGUUCGGAUUCAUUGGGCGUAAAGGGUGCGUAGGUGGCGCUGUAAGUCGGGUGUGAAAUUUCGGAGCUUAACUCCGAGACUGCAUUCGAUACUGCGGUGCUUGAGGACUGGAGAGGAGACUGGAAUUCAUGGUGUAGCAGUGAAAUGCGUAGAGAUCAUGAGGAAGACCAGUGGCGAAGGCGGGUCUCUGGACAGUUCCUGACACUGAGGCGCGAAAGCCAGGGGAGCAAACGGG
rnacentral:rRNA from 1 species